UGACGGUACCUGACUAAGAAGCCCCGGCUAACUACGUGCCAGCAGCCGCGGUAAUACGUAGGGGGCAAGCGUUAUCCGGAUUUACUGGGUGUAAAGGGAGCGUAGACGGUACGGCAAGUCUGAUGUGAAAACCCGGGGCUCAACCUCGGGACUGCAUUGGAAACUGUCGAACUAGAGUGUCGGAGAGGUAAGUGGAAUUCCUAGUGUAGCGGUGGAAUGCGUAGAUAUUAGGAGGAACACCAGUGGCGAAGGCGACUUACUGGACGAUUACUGACGUUGAGGCUCGAAAGCGUGGGGAGCAAACAGGAUUAGAUACCCUG
rnacentral:rRNA from 1 species